GCAAUUCAGGUUCUUCAUCUUCAAUGUUCCAUGGUGCAAAUGAGAAUAAAGCAGAUUGGAGAAUCGAGAGUGGUUCUUGUCUAUCUCCUCGGCCAGAUUACCAACAAAAGAAGACAAGGCUCCUUUUCAUGCAAGAGGAGAUAUAUGCAGUGUCUUUCACCAUUCAUAUUGUGGUACCAUUAUGACAAUAUCCAAGGAUAGAGUGAAACCAUUCCCACAACCUGAUAGCUGGAAAUUGAGGAGAUAUUUGCUACUGGUAUUGGAUUGUUGUGUGAUUUUUUUGGCUUAUGAAGGACACUAACUUCUUCUCGGUAAUCAAUUUAAUUUCACAUUUCUUUCAGUAUAUUUGGUUGUAUGUAGAAACCAGUAGGGAUGAGCACUAUUAUAAAUUUAUAUAUUAGAUUCAUCUAUGAAAAGUUUACAUGUUAUCACCUACUAGUGAAAAUUGUGACAGUAUAUGCUAACUGAAGCUUUGCAAGAAUCAAGGAAAUGGGAUGGGAUUAGACUGGUGUAAUCUGGCUCAACAGUUUAGUGACCUAUGUGCCUCUUGAUUUG